rnacentral:tRNA from 1 species
GCGGAUGUAGCUCAGCUGGUAGAGCAUCGGCUUCCCAAGCCGAGGGCCGCGGGUUCGAGUCCCGUCAUCCGCUCCA